UACAGAGGUCCCGAGCGUUGUUCGGAAUCACUGGGCGUAAAGCGCAUGUAGGCGGGUCUUUAAGUCAGGGGUGAAAUGCCAAGGCUCAACCUUGGAACUGCCUUUGAUACUGGAGACCUUGAGUCCGGGAGAGGUGAGUGGAACUGCGAGUGUAGAGGUGAAAUUCGUAGAUAUUCGCAAGAACACCAGUGGCGAAGGCGGCUCACUGGCCCGGUACUGACGCUGAGAUGCGAAAGCGUGGGGAGCAAACAGG
rnacentral:rRNA from 1 species